rnacentral:rRNA from 1 species
UACGAAGUGGGCUAGCGUUGUUCGGAAUUACUGGGCGUAAAGCGCGUGUAGGCGGGGCUUUAAGUCAGGGGUGAAAUGCCAAGGCUCAACCUUGGAACUGCCUUUGAUACUGGAGAUCUUGAGUCCGGGAGAGGUGAGUGGAAUUGCGAGUGUAGAGGUGAAAUUCGUAGAUAUUCGCAAGAACACCAGUGGCGAAGGCGGCUCACUGGCCCGGAACUGACGCUGAGACGCGAAAGCGUGGGGAGCAAACAGG